rnacentral:rRNA from 1 species
AUACGACCGUACCGCAAACCGACACUGGUGCGCGAGAUGAGUAUUCAAGGCGCUUGAGAGAACUCAGGAGAAGGAACUCGGCAAAUUGACACCGUAACUUCGGAAGAAGGUGUGCCCUAUUAGUGUGUAGUGAACAACGAAGCAUGAAUGGGUUGCAAAAAAUCGGUGGCUGCGACUGUUUAUUAAAAACACAGCACUCUGCAAACACGAAAGUGGACGUAUAGGGUGUGACGCCUGCCCGGUGCUGGAAGAUUAAAUGAUGGGGUGCGAGCUCUUGAUUGAAGUCCCAGUAAACGGCGGCCGUAACAAUAACGGUCCUAAGGUAGCGAAAUUCCUUGUCGGGUAAGUUCCGACCUGCACGAAUGGCGUAGCGAUGGCCACACUGUCUCCUCCUGAGACUCAGCGAAGUUGAAAUGUUUGUGAUGAUGCAAUCUCCCCGCGGAAAGUCGGAAAGACCCCAUGAACCUUUACUGUAGCUUUGUAUUGGACUUUGAACAGAUCUGUGUAGGAUAGGUGGGAGGCUUUGAAGCAGGGUCGCUAGAUCUUGUGGAGCCAACGUUGAAAUACCACCCUGGUGUGUUUGAGGUUCUAACCUAGGUCCAUUAUCUGGAUCGGGGACAGUGCAUGGUAGGCAGUUUGACUGGGGCGGUCUCCUCCCAAAGCGUAACGGAGGAGUUCGAAGGUACGCUAGUUACGGUCGGACAUCGUGACGAUAGUGCAAUGGCAUAAGCGUGCUUAACUGCGAGACUGACAAGUCGAGCAGAUGCGAAAGCAGGACAUAGUGAUCCGGAGGUUCUGUAUGGAAGGGCCAUCGCUCAACGGAUAAAAGGUACUCUGGGGAUAACAGGCUGAAACCGCCCAAGAGUUCAUAUCGACGGCGGUGUUUGGCACCUCGAUGUCGGCUCAUCUCAUCCUGGGGCUGUAGCCGGUCCCAAGGGUAUGGCUGUUCGCCAUUUAAAGAGGUACGUGAGCUGGGUUUAAAACGUCGUGAGACAGUUUGGUCCCUAUCUUCCGUGGGCGCUGCAGAUUUGAGGAAGCCUGCUCCUAGUACGAGAGGACCGGAGUGGACACACCUCUGGUGUAUCGGUUGUCACGCCAGUGGCAUUGCCGAGUAGCUAAGUGUGGAAGAGAUAACCGCUGAAAGCAUCUAAGCGGGAAACUCGUUUCAAGAUGAGAUCUGCCGGGGCCUUGAGCCCCCUAAAGAGUCGUUCAAGACCAGGACGUUGAUAGGUCAGGUGUGGAAAC